AGUCGAGCGGCAGCACAGGGUGCUUGCGCCUCGGUGGGGAGUGGCGAACGGGUGAGUAAUACAUCGGAAUGUACCUUGUAGGGGGGGAUAGCUCGGCGAAGGCCGGAUUAAUACCGCAUACGCUCUGAGGAGGAAAGCGGGGGACCUUCGGGCCUCGCGCUACAAGAGCAGCCGAUGUCAAAUUAACUAGUUGGUGGGGGAAAAGCUCACCAAGGCGACGAUCUGUAGCUGGUCUGAGAGGACGACCAGCCACACUGGGACUGAGACACGGCCCAGACUCCUACGGGAGGCAGCAGUGGGGAAUUUUGGACAAUGGGCGAAAGCCUGAUCCAGCAAUGCCGGGCGUGUGAAGAAAGACUUCGGGUUGUAAAGCACUUUUGUCCGGAAAGAAAUCCUCUGGGUUAAUACCUCCGGGGGAUGACGGUACCGGAAGAAUAAACACCGGCUAACUACGUGCCAGCAGCCGCGGGAAUACGUAGGGUGCAAGCGUUAAUCGGAAUUACUGGGCGUAAAGCGUGCGCACGCGGUUUUGUAAGACAGAUGUGUAAUCCCCGGGCUUAACCUGGGAACUGCAUUCGUGACUGCCAGGCUAGAGUAUGGCAGAGGGGGGUAGAAUUACACGUGUAUCAGUGAAAUGCGUACAGAUGUGUAGGAAUACCGAUCGCGAAGGCAGCCCCCUGCGUCAAUACUGACGCUCAUGCACGAAAGAGUGGGGAGCAAACAGGAUUAAAUACCCUGCCAGUCCACGCCCUAUACGAUGUCUACUAGUUGGUGGGGAGUCAUCUUCCUUACUAACGAAGCUAACGCGAGAAGUUGACCGCCCUGGGGAGGACGGUCGCGAGAUUAAAACUCAAUGGAAUUGACGGGGACGCCGCACCAGCGGUGGGAGGAUGUGGAUGUAAUUCGAUGCAACGCGACA
rnacentral:rRNA from 1 species